CUGGCCACCAGUUAGGUGUAAUUUGCUUUUCACCCAAAAGUAAGGUGGGAGGGGCUCAACCUCAACCAAGACCCUCAUGAAAAUGGGAAAAACCGAUGAGGAUUAUUGAGCUAAAAUGACAAAUCUUCAAUCUGCAUUUAUUUUCUCCAGUUUUAUUGAAUGUCUUCAUUUGAAGAACUGCGAGUGAAUAGACUUUGUUGCACUGUCCACUUUCUACACAUCAAAACCCAUUCAACACGCGUUAAGGAAAUACUACUUUGAAUUGUUGUAGCUAUGUUUGCAUUUGUGAUUGACACUGACAUUUGUCCUCAGAAGUGUCACACCUGCAUUCCUAGUCAAUGCUAUUACUAAUUUAAAUUGAUGAAAUCAUGAUAAGUCGCUGAUGGUGUAGGGGUCGGGUUCCCACUCGGUGAGGGUGUGAAUGUGGGUGUGUAUGGCUGUUUGUCUCCAUAUGUGCCCUGCAGCAAUUCCCGCGACCCUCUUCAGUAUAAGCGUUGUUGAAAAUGGAUGGACGGAUGAGUUCAUGAUAAGCAUCGUAAGUGACACAUUAUGUUUGUUUGAUGAGAAUUUGAUUUCAUCUUUUUUAUCCAAUUACUUGAAAUCACCAGAUAAGUUGGUAAAAAAAAUGAUUUAACGAUUUGCCAAGGAGUCAUGGACAUAAAUAUCAGCACCAUGUUGUACUAUAGUAGAUUGUGUGAAUUAUAUUGCCCUCUAGUGAACACUUGUGGUAAUUACUGCUCAUUGCGGCAUGCAGUUUCAAUGACGAAGUAGUUAUGUUGAAAACAAAUGCGUCCAACCGUGGAUGAGGAACAUUUUUCCGUUUAGCUACAAGUUGAGUAGUUCAGCAUUAUGCAUGGCCGUACUUGGGCACAACAAUCGGAGUUGUACACUGACAAUGAUGUUUCUUGACUUCGUGCCACGAUCAAAGCUACUGCCUCCAGCACUCCAGAAGGAAGGGAGACUGCUUUCCACCACUGCAUCAUACACAUUCCUCAGUGAGGGUAACUGAAUCCCAACAGGCAUAUAAGAAGCUUGAAAAGAAACAAACAAUAUGUCAACAGUGUCAGGGAUCUCUUUUUUUUUUUGUAAGUAAAAGUACUGACAUUUUGGCCAGGCGCUGCACAAAAAGUAGCUUUGACUGUCGUCAUUGCUCAAACUUGUGUCUGGUGUUCAAUAUGAGAUAUGAAGAAAACAAUAGACUGUUGCUUCAUUAGUCAGUAUUUCGUCCAAACAGUCUCUAAAUACCAGCCAACCUUGAGCCCUCGACACCUACAUUCCUUUUGCCAGUUUAUUGUGAUUACGAAAUGAAAAAAAAAAAUAGCGACAGAAAAAAAAAUACAUCUUAGACCAUGUUAGCACUCUUGGAAUUACGGUAGCUAUUUUUUAUCCGUACUUGGAGCUGACUUCAGAAACACAAAAUGAUGAGAAAUAUUGACUGCAAAUGUUUCGGGGCAGUUCUUUGUUUGAUGGUUGACAUGAAUCCGAUAAUCUUAGCAUUGUGCACUUCCAAAUGUUUCACAAUUUGCCGCAUCCUUGGUCGCUUACAUAUUGCAACAGAUGGCAUUUAAACACCUCAGCCAAAAGGGUAGCAAAACACUGUUUGCUCUUAGGAUGUUAGUGUCGCACUGCAGCUAUUGAAUUUACAUUGCACAAUAUUACAA